rnacentral:tRNA from 1 species
GGACCCAUGGCUCAGCCAGGUAGAGCGACGGACUCUUAAUCCGUUGGUCGGGGGUUCAAAUCCCCCUGGGUCCG